ACUACGGGCGGCAGCAGUGAGGAAUAUUGGUCAAUGGUCGGGAGACUGAACCAGCCAAGCCGCGUGAGGGAUGAAGGUACAGAGUAUCGUAAACCUCUUUUGUCAGGGAACAAAGGCGGGGACGUGUCCCCGGAUGAGUGUACCUGAAGAAAAAGCAUCGGCUAACUCCGUGCCAGCAGCCGCGGUAAUACGGAGGAUGCGAGCGUUAUCCGGAUUUAUUGGGUUUAAAGGGUGCGCAGGCGGUCUGUUAAGUCAGCGGUCAAAGCCCGGGGCUCAACCCCGGCCCGCCGUUGAAACUGGCAGUCUCGAGUUGGAGAGAAGUAUGCGGAAGGCGCGGUGUAGCGGGGAAAUGCAUAGAUAUCGCGCAGAACUCCGAUUGCGAAGGCAGCAUGCCGGCUCCACACUGACGCUGAGGCACGAAAGCGUGGGUAUCGAACAGGAUUAGAUACCCGAGUAGUC
rnacentral:rRNA from 1 species